rnacentral:rRNA from 1 species
AGCGAGACCUUCGGGUCUAGCGGCGGACGGGUUAGUAACGCGUGGGAACGUACCCUUUUCUACGGAAUAGCCUUUGGAAACGAAGAGUAAUACCGUAUACGCCCUUCGGGGGAAAGAUUUAUCGGAGAAGGAUCGGCCCGCGUUAGAUUAGAUAGUUGGUGGGGUAAUGGCUUACCAAGUCUACGAUCUAUAGCUGGUUUUAGAGGAUGAUCAGCAACACUGGGACUGAGACACGGCCCAGACUCCUACGGGAGGCAGCAGUGGGGAAUCUUAGACAAUGGGCGCAAGCCUGAUCUAGCCAUGCCGCGUGAGUGAAGAAGGCCUUAGGGUCGUAAAGCUCUUUCGCCAGGGAUGAUAAUGACAGUACCUGGUAAAGAAACCCCGGCUAACUCCGUGCCAGCAGCCGCGGUAAUACGGAGGGGGUUAGCGUUGUUCGGAAUUACUGGGCGUAAAGCGCACGUA